CCCCUCUCAGGAUUGCACCUGGAGAGUUCCCUGUACUCUACCAAUCUCAACUAUGGGAGGGAGAGUCAAGCAGAGGCAUACCCAUUCCAUUUCUAGCAUGGGUGGUGGCUAGUGAGAGGAAGGCAAUCUGCUACAAAU